ACGGCGGCAGCACCGCCGCCCGCCACAGCCGGGGCCGCCGCUCGCCUCAGGGCCGCGGGCGGGGCAGGGCCGGAGCAGCGCGGGCCGAUCCCCUCAGAAACAUCCCCUGCAGCAAAUGCUCCGUGUGCGGGACGGGUUUGUCCCGGCACUUGGGGCUCCCCGGGAUCGUGUGCCAGGGAACAAAGCCCGCGCCGCGCUCCCAGCUGCGGUGCCGCGGCUCUGUGGGCUGCGCUGGGCUCUGUUUCCCGGGGAGCAGCGGGGUGGGGUCCCUGUGCCACCCCCGGGGGUCGCACGGAGAAGCUGCUCCCGCGGUACGGCCGAGGGUCGGGGGAAACCUGAACAGUCCUGAUGGAAACCGCUGGAAAAACAAGUUUGGCUCGGUUUCGAUAUUUUUCCCCUGACCCCCACCUGGUCCAGGUGUUUUGCCUUAGGAAACAGGAGCAGGAGACAGAAGGGGGAAUGGAGAAAAAGAUAAUUGAUUACCCCAAAAGGGAUGAGCUUAUUUCUAUUGAUUUCCUGAUGCACCUGGGAGCCUCCUUUUGUGUCCUGGGCGGGCUGUGGUUAUAAAAGGGGUAAAGGAUGGAGGAAGGGGGGUCCGGGAGGCAGAAGAGCAGUGGUUGGGAUCAGGGGUGCCCUGGGGAUUUGCACCUGGAAGCGGCCGCCAGUUUCCUGAUGGGAGCCCUGGAAACAGAGCUAGGAGUCCGUGAGAAAUGUGAAUACUGCAGCUGGAAUGCUGAGAAUGGAGGCUCUGCAGAGAAUGUCGUCUGGGCGGCGUCUGAUCCCAGGUCUCGGGGACUGUGUGGAGAUUCCUCCCUGGAGCAGGGUCACCCCGUGAGGAUGAGCCACAGAGGUUCAGUUCUUGGAGCA